rnacentral:rRNA from 1 species
GAGACAGCAGUAGCCGCGGGAAUACAGAGGGUGCGAGCGUUAAUCGGAUUUACUGGGCGUAAAGCGUGCGUAGGCGGCUUUUUAAGUCGGAUGUGAAAUCCCUGAGCUUAACUUAGGAAUUGCAUUCGAUACUGGAAAGCUAGAGUAUGGGAGAGGAUGGUAGAAUUCCAGGUGUAGCGGUGAAAUGCGUAGAGAUCUGGAGGAAUACCGAUGGCGAAGGCAGCCAUCUGGCCUAAUACUGACGCUGAGGUACGAAAGCAUGGGGAGCAAACAGGAUUAGAUACACCGGUAGUCCCUGUCUCUUAUAC